rnacentral:rRNA from 1 species
UACGUAGGGGGCUAGCGUUGUCCGGAUUUAUUGGGCGUAAAGAGCGUGUAGGCGGCCAGGUAGGUCUGCUGUGAAAACUCGAGGCUCAACCUCGAGACGUCGGCGGAAACCAUCUGGCUAGAGUCCGGAAGAGGAGAGUGGAAUUCCUGGUGUAGCGGUGAAAUGCGUAGAUAUCGGAAGGAACAUCAGUGGCGAAAGCGGCUUCCUGGACCAGCACCGACGUUCAGGCACGAAAGCGUGGGGAGCAAACAGG